CCUACGGGUGACAGCAGUGGGGAAUAUUGGGCAAUGGAGGAAACUCUGACCCAGCAACGCCGCGUGAAGGAUGAAGGUUUUCGGAUUGUAAACUUCUGUUGCGAGGGAUGAAGAAUGACGGUACCUCGUGAGGAAGCCCCGGCAAACUACGUGCCAGCAGCCGCGGUAAUACGUAGGGGGCAAGCGUUGUCCGGAAUGACUGGGCGUAAAGGGAGUGUAGGCGGGCUUUUAAGUUAUAUGUGAAAGCCCCCGGCUUAACCGAGGAACUGCAUAUAAAACUAGUAGACUAGAGUGCAGGAGGGGUAAGUGGAAUUCCUAGUGUAGCGGUGGAAUGCGUAGAUAUUAGGAGGAACAUCAGGGGCGAAGGCGACUUACUGGACUGUAACUGACACUGAGGCACGAAAGCGUGGGGAGCAAACAGGAUUAGAUACCCUGGUAGUC
rnacentral:rRNA from 1 species